rnacentral:lncRNA from 1 species
CAUGGGCCUCACUCUCGUGGUCGUGAUCCGAUUAGUUCAGCUUUUAAGCUCAUAUGCCAAGAUAGACCAGGGGAAAACAUCACAUUAGUUUCGUAAACGUAGCCAUAUAUUUUCAUGAAAUACUAUUUAAAGGAUGGAUGAUAAAUAUAAGUUUGAAGAUUGACGAUCCUAUUUUUUAAGAUAAUUCUAAUGAAAUUAUAUGGUUAUAAUUAUUAAGUCAACAUAAUUUUUUUUAUGGAUGAUCUACGUUCCUAGACUUAAAAAAUGAACCGAUUAAAUCGUGGAAGCUGGAUUCUGGUGAGUCCCUUGAUUGGUAUGGUGCGAUCCAUAGACAAGUCAUUUCUUUUCUGUUUAUAUUUGACUUUUUCGUUUUAGGUUGUAUUUUUGCAUUUAGGGAUGGGCAUUCAACAAGUCGAGCUCACACUACAUAUAUAGAGGGUUUUGGUCUCCCCAAGUCAAGACCAACUCUAGUCCUAAAAACUUUUAAAUUCCUAAGGACCACUAAGCCUAUUUAUUCAGACUCUUAAAUGUUAAAUAUACUUAAGCAUUUACAUUAUAUUAGUUCUAAUUUUAAAAGUUAUGGUUUUUCUAUUUGCGUAGAAACCGAUCAUCUGGGAAUUGCACUGAUGAAUCUGGUGUUUCAGGAAAUGAUCUUAUCGUUUUUUUCAAUGCAAUCACUGUUGCUCCCACAACAAUAAUUAAAGUUCCCAAUUUAGCAUAAAAUGGAGAGGAAUUUGUUAUCAUAAAAUGAAGGGGGUGGUUGGUGGCGAUAGUGGGUGGUUAUACGUGCAUGGUGUUGGUGGUCUAGUUUCUAUUUAAUGAGCUAUGGGACCGAUAGCCAAUGCAUGUUCGCUCUUGUUGUUUUCAAAUGGAUCCUGAUCCAAUCUCCAUAGGUCCCAUAUCCCAUGCAGGUUCCCUAUUGUUGCUUUCAAAGGGAGCCUAAUCCAGUAACCUGUUGUGCUCAAAACUAAUUACGGAUCACACACACAAAAAACAAUAACGAUUUACGUGGUUCAGCCAACGAUGCCUACGUCCACGGAGAGAUAUCAAUAAUCCAUUAUCAAACGAAUGGAUUACAACGGAGGAGAGUCGAUCGCUCAACUCACACUCUCUCUUACAAUCUCUCUCUGUCUUGCCUCUCAAUCUCACCUCACAGCACUCUACUCUCAGCCCACAACACAACGCGUAGAAAAUCUAAGCACCCUACCCUCCCUUUUAUAGACCAAGGGAAGGAGGUGACAAAGUCGAUUUUGAGAAACUCAGAGGAAGGAGACAAAGUCGAUUUUGAGAAGCUGUACAACGACUGGAGUGCUGCAGCCAAAACAAGUCUCUUUCGCUCUCAAUUUGAUUGUGCGCACAAGGAAUGAGAGAUGGAGCUACAACAACUCGUAAAGUGACGUAUUUUGCAGGGCACGCCGGUGGGGGUGGGGGUUCAGGACACCUCGGUGAGAAGGUAAAGGCACUUCAGUGUGGAGGUGUAUACACUUCGGUGGAAGUGGAGUAGCCCGUUGAUAGGGGCAAGGUAUAUCGGAUGCUGUCUUGUAGAUCUUAUAGAGAAGCUGGACAAGAAGCUGUCUGGAUGAACAACUUGAAGAUAUCGAAUUACCCUCUAAUGGGUUGGAGGGGAAGAUUGUUGAAGUCCAGCCCAAUUGGAUGAGUCUAAGCCCAGUAGCCAAGCCCAAACUUGAUUGACUCACAUGGAGUGUCCAUGUGAGAAUGAAAACUUCCGAGUUAUCUAGCACUCUUGAGAGAAUUAUCUCUAGGUAAAAUAUGAUAACUAUUAUGUAUCCUACUGAAAGUCUACCACCACCUUCUCUUGGUCUAUAAAAGGGAGGGCAGGGUGCUGAGAUUUGUACAGUGUAUUGUUGGUAGAGAUUGAUGUGCUGUGAGUUGAGACUGAGAGGCAAGACAGAGAGAGAUUGUGAAAGUUGGGAGUUGAAUCUCCUCCAUUGUAAUCCAUUAGUUCGAUUAGUGAAUUAUUAUUUUUUCUCCGACGAAUCACGUAAAUUUUUGUUGUCUUGUGUGUGUGAUCGAUUAUUCGUUUUGAGCACAACAAUUUGAUGGUCGAGAGUGGGGUCGAGGGGUUGAAGAUGGUGGAUGAUUGUCGUGGGUGGGGUUGCAGCAUCGUGAAGAAUCAAUUGAAUCUUAUCUUGAGAAGGGAACAGAUUUGAUGUGGUGAUUGCGGCGGUGGCGACAGCACUGGACGGGGACGGCGAUUGGUGGUGACGGUCUGUACAAACCACAUAAUUCUAACAUUAUCCUCAUCAUCUGAUACAGUAUCUUAUGAUCCAACACGUGUACAUUGGUCCAAUUUCUAUUUUUAUGGCUGUUGGGGCCCAUAGCCCUUGCAUGUUCCUCUCGCGAUCCUUAAGGAAGCCUGAUCCGUGGAAAAAAUAAGUUUGAGUGAGUGUGACCUAAUUGUAUGGGUGGGUCCCGGUUAUAGAAAGUAUUGAAACAUGUGUGGAAUGGAUCUCCUUCGCGAGUAGAUAACCGUGUAGAU